rnacentral:rRNA from 1 species
AGCGUACACGGUGGAUGCCCUGGCAGUCAGAGGCGAUGAAGGACGUGCUAAUCUGCGAAAAGCGUCGGUAAGGUGAUAUGAACCGUUACAGCCGGCGAUGUCCGAAUGGGGAAACCCAGUGUGAUUCGUCACACUAUCGUUAACUGAAUACAUAGGUUAACGAGGCGAACCGGGGGAACUGAAACAUCUAAGUACCCCGAGGAAAAGAAAUCAACCGAGAUUCCCCCAGUAGCGGCGAGCGAACGGGGAGCAGCCCAGAGUCUGAAUCAGCUUGUGUGUUAGUGGAACGGUCUGGAAAGUCCGACGGUACAGGGUGAUAGUCCCGUACACCAAAAUGCACAGGCUGUGAACUCGAAGAGUAGGGCGGGACACGUGGUAUCCUGUCUGAAUAUGGGGGGACCAUCCUCCAAGGCUAAAUACUCCUGACUGACCGAUAGUGAACCAGUACCGUGAGGGAAAGGCGAAAAGAACCCCGGCGAGGGGAGUGAAAAAGAACCUGAAACCGUGUACGUACAAGCAGUGGGAGCACCUUCGGGUGUGACUGCGUACCUUUUGUAUAAUGGGUCAGCGACUUAUAUUCUGUAGCAAGGUUAACCGUAUAGGGGAGCCGCAGGGAAACCGAGUCUUAACUGGGCGUUAAGUUGCAGGGUAUAGACCCGAAACCCGGUGAUCUAGCCAUGGGCAGGUUGAAGGUUGGGUAACACUAACUGGAGGACCGAACCGACUAAUGUUGAAAAAUUAGCGGAUGACUUGUGGCUGGGGGUGAAAGGCCAAUCAAACCGGGAGAUAGCUGGUUCUCCCCGAAAGCUAUUUAGGUAGCGCCUCGUGAACUCAUCUUCGGGGGUAGAGCACUGUUUCGGCUAGGGGGUCAUCCCGACUUACCAACCCGAUGCAAACUACGAAUACCGAAGAAUGUUAUCACGGGAGACACACGGCGGGUGCUAACGUCCGUCGUGAAGAGGGAAACAACCCAGACCGCCAGCUAAGGUCCCAAAGUCAUGGUUAAGUGGGAAACGAUGUGGGAAGGCACAGACAGCCAGGAUGUUGGCUUAGAAGCAGCCAUCAUUUAAAGAAAGCGUAAUAGCUCACUGGUCGAGUCGGCCUGCGCGGAAGAUGUAACGGGGCUAAACCAUGCACCGAAGCUGCGGCAGCGACACUAUGUGUUGUUGGGUAGGGGAGCGUUCUGUAAGCCUGCGAAGGUGUGCUGUGAGGCAUGCUGGAGGUAUCAGAAGUGCGAAUGCUGACAUAAGUAACGAUAAAGCGGGUGAAAAGCCCGCUCGCCGGAAGACCAAGGGUUCCUGUCCAACGUUAAUCGGGGCAGGGUGAGUCGACCCCUAAGGCGAGGCCGAAAGGCGUAGUCGAUGGGAAACAGGUUAAUAUUCCUGUACUUGGUGUUACUGCGAAGGGGGGACGGAGAAGGCUAUGUUAGCCGGGCGACGGUUGUCCCGGUUUAAGCAUGUAGGCUGGUUAUCCAGGCAAAUCCGGAUAAUCAAGGCUGAGGUGUGAUGACGAGGCACUACGGUGCUGAAGUAACAAAUGCCCUGCUUCCAGGAAAAGCCUCUAAGCAUCAGGUAACAUCAAAUCGUACCCCAAACCGACACAGGUGGUCAGGUAGAGAAUACCAAGGCGCUUGAGAGAACUCGGGUGAAGGAACUAGGCAAAAUGGUGCCGUAACUUCGGGAGAAGGCACGCUGGUGUGUAGGUGAAGCCCCUGCGGGUGGAGCUGAGACCAGUCGAAGAUACCAGCUGGCUGCAACUGUUUAUUAAAAACACAGCACUGUGCAAACACGAAAGUGGACGUAUACGGUGUGACGCCUGCCCGGUGCCGGAAGGUUAAUUGAUGGGGUUAUCCGUAAGGAGAAGCUCUUGAUCGAAGCCCCGGUAAACGGCGGCCGUAACUAUAACGGUCCUAAGGUAGCGAAAUUCCUUGUCGGGUAAGUUCCGACCUGCACGAAUGGCGUAAUGAUGGCCAGGCUGUCUCCACCCGAGACUCAGUGAAAUUGAACUCGCUGUGAAGAUGCAGUGUACCCGCGGCAAGACGGAAAGACCCCGUGAACCUUUACUAUAGCUUGACACUGAACAUUGAGCCUUGAUGUGUAGGAUAGGUGGGAGGCUUUGAAGCGUGGACGCCAGUCUGCGUGGAGCCAACCUUGAAAUACCACCCUUUAAUGUUUGAUGUUCUAACGUUGGCCCCUUACCGGGGUUGCGGACAGUGUCUCUGGUGGGUAGUUUGACUGGGGCGGUCUCCUCCCAAAGCGUAACGGAGGAGCACGAAGGUUAGCUAAUCCUGGUCGGACAUCAGGAGGUUAGUGCAAUGGCAUAAGCUAGCUUGACUGCGAGCGUGACGGCGCGAGCAGGUGCGAAAGCAGGUCAUAGUGAUCCGGUGGUUCUGAAUGGAAGGGCCAUCGCUCAACGGAUAAAAGGUACUCCGGGGAUAACAGGCUGAUACCGCCCAAGAGUUCAUAUCGACGGCGGUGUUUGGCACCUCGAUGUCGGCUCAUCACAUCCUGGGGCUGAAGUAGGUCCCAAGGGUAUGGCUGUUCGCCAUUUAAAGUGGUACGCGAGCUGGGUUUAGAACGUCGUGAGACAGUUCGGUCCCUAUCUGCCGUGGGCGCUGGAGAAUUGAGGGGGGCUGCUCCUAGUACGAGAGGACCGGAGUGGACGCAUCACUGGUGUUCGGGUUGUCAUGCCAAUGGCACUGCCCGGUAGCUAAAUGCGGAAGAGAUAAGUGCUGAAAGCAUCUAAGCACGAAACUUGCCCCGAGAUGAGUUCU